CACAAACACCAACCCAGAGUUUAGUUCCUGUAACGACUCAGAAAAGUAUGUUUGUUAUUUGUGUUAUUGAGGAUUUCUACCCCAAGCAUCUCACUGUACAAUGGAAAGUAAAUGAUUCCAACAUCUCUAUACUGUCAAAACUGGAGUAUGAACAGAACGCUGAAGGUCUUUACACAGCGUACAGUCUUUAUAAAGUCAGCAGAGAGACAUGGAACACAAAUACUUUCUAUACCUGUGAGGUCACACACCAGCAAGAAAUAUUUACUGUAAUUAAGAACUUUAAUGCUAAAUUCUCACUGAAGCUGAAGCCACCAAUUGAGAAAGAAUUAUUUGUCAAUGGUAAAGUUGUCUUGGAGGCUGUUGUUUCUGGAGAUACACAGGCAGUGAAAGAAGCUUCAGUGUCAUGCAAAGUGAAGAAUGAACCUUUAAUAACUGUACCAGGAACUACAGACUUUUAUACGGACAUUUCACAGUUUAUAAAAGUCAACAACAUCAUUGUUGAUGCUAAGAAAUGGUUUGAUGGUGAAAUGGUCACCUGCACAGUUCAUGACAAAAACAACAACAGAGACAUCAAGCAGGAGAUCUUUUUUGAUAAAGGAGAUGGACGGAAACCCAGUGUUGUCAUUUACAGACCUGAUAAUAUGCACGCUGACAGCAUCUCUCUAGUGUGUGAGGUCUCCAGCCCUAAACUCGGCAAUGUCUAUUUCAUGUGGAAAGUGGGCCAUAGGCCUUACAUAAAGGGCUCAACCAGCGCUCCUAUCCAUCUAAAGGACUCCACGUCUGUUCUCAGCAUACUAACAAUGACAAAACAGGAAUAUGAAAGGCACAACCCCAUCAUAUGCACAGUCAUACAUGCCAACAUGGAUAAUAUGAGCGCUCCUAUACAAGUUUCAACAUCCCAAAGUAAAGAGAAAGAAGUGUCAUGUGAUUAAUGUUCAAGUGCUGUACCAAACAAUCACAGUGUUUAUCUGUUGUUCACUUCUAUGUUCUCCAGUGCUUCCCCUCACCAAAAAGUAGUAUACUUAAAGUUCAUUUUAUUAAGUAUACUUAAGUAAAGUUCAAGUAUAUUUUUAAGUAUAUUUUAUGUAACAAGUAUACAAAUAUCAGUGUUCUAGUAGUAUACUUGUAA